AUUGAACGCUGGCGGCAUGCCUUACACAUGCAAGUCGAACGGUAACAGGUCUUCGGAUGCUGACGAGUGGCGAACGGGUGAGUAAUAUAUCGGAACGUGCCCAGUAGUGGGGGAUAACUGCUCGAAAGAGCAGCUAAUACCGCAUACGACCUGAGGGUGAAAGGGGGGGAUCGCAAGACCUCUCGCUAUUGGAGCGGCCGAUAUCAGAUUAGCUAGUUGGUGGGGUAAAGGCCUACCAAGGCAACGAUCUGUAGUUGGUCUGAGAGGACGACCAGGCACACUGGGACUGAGACACGGCCCAGACUCCUACGGGAGGCAGCAGUGGGGAAUUUUGGACAAUGGGCGCAAGCCUGAUCCAGCAAUGCCGCGUGCAGGAAGAAGGCCUUCGGGUUGUAAACUGCUUUUGUCAGGGAAGAGAUCUUCUGGGCUAAUACCCCGGGAGGAUGACGGUACCUGAAGAAUAAGCACCGGCUAACUACGUGCCAGCAGCCGCAGUAA
rnacentral:rRNA from 1 species